CCGACAGCUACCGAGGAAAAACAGCGAACGAAAGAGAGAGGAGGAGGAGGAGGAAGAGGAGGAGAAAUAGGGAGAGGGAGAAAAAGAAGGAGCAUCACUUAAAGAAGAGCGAGAAGUUGCUGCAGGACUGGCCUUGUGUACCCACGUGCAGAGAGAAGCACUUCGCCCCGGUCUACCUCCAAAGCCCCAGUGGCUAAGGUUAAAGCAAACGUCCCCAUCCGUGAACGAGGGGCUCUUCGUGGAGAGAUUCCCACCUUGUCCGUGCCAGCCAAAUCUGCUUAUUCUGC
rnacentral:lncRNA from 1 species